AGCGAACGCUGGCGGCAGGCCUAACACAUGCAAGUCGAACGGACCCUUCGGGGUUAGUGGCGGACGGGUGAGUAGCACGUGGGAACGUGCCUUUAGGUUCGGAAUAGCUCCUGGAAACGGGUGGUAAUGCCGAAUGUGCCCUUCGGGGGAAAGAUUUAUCGCCUUUAGAGCGGCCCGCGUCUGAUUAGCUAGUUGGUGAGGUAAUGGCUCACCAAGGCGACGAUCAGUAGCUGGUCUGAGAGGAUGACCAGCCACAUUGGGACUGAGACACGGCCCAAACUCCUACGGGAGGCAGCAGUGGGGAAUCUUGCGCAAUGGGCGAAAGCCUGACGCAGCCAUGCCGCGUGAAUGAUGAAGGUCUUAGGAUUGUAAAGCUCUUUUGUCCGGGAAGAUAAUGACUGUACCGGAAGAAUAAGCCCCGGCUAACUUCGUGCCAGCCGCCGCCGUAAUAC
rnacentral:rRNA from 1 species